CAAUUAUUAAAAACGUGACCAUGAACCAAUGCCUCAGCUCACAUUGUCGUUCGCGUAUUCUCCCUGCUGAAGGUACCACGUCGGAAACCUAUUUCGCCGCGCCGGGAUCGCCUCCGGCGGCGGCGGAGAUCCUAUAUCGAAAUUAAACAUACUAACCUACACCUUUUAAUCCAGGCGAACCGAAUUCAGCUAGCGUUCAUUCCAAUUUCAACUCAUAAAGCCAAAUCAAAUCGAUCGACGAAUAACCUAAUCGAACCGAUCGACGAUUAAACCAUGAAAUCGCAGAAUCCAAACCAUGAAAGAUGCUCUACAUGAUUGCAAGCAAUUGAUAGGAGAUGACGGAGGAUCAGAGACCUAUCGGAUUUAUGAACCGCGUGUAGCGUUGCCGUCGAGGCUGAAGACUUAAGCUGCGUGUUCACGUUCUUUGAUUUCCCGUUCGUCAAUUGCGGCGAAUCGAAUAUCCAUAUUGCUCCAUCAUCCGUUCACGAUUCCAGGAUUCGUGUCGUCAAAGUCGCGACUCAAUCGGAUUGAAGCUCAAAGCGGUGACAGGUUAAUGUUUGGACUUUAGAAUCAUGGAGUCUUCUUGAACAAUGCUUGGUCAUGGAUAGCCCGGGUUUGGAUCUAUUGUGGGGUGCUGGCUAUGGGAGAUCAGCUUGGUACCAGCCGUGAAAUGUGGAUUGGGAAUCAUGGACUUGUGGCUUUUGGAUUGUGUUGUUGCGUUUCGGUUUGUGCACGUUGCAACUUUUGACUUGCUUCGCGUUGCCGUCGGUUUGUGGCUUGUGUAAGCGUUUGCAGCUGCAUCAUUAUGUUAUGCUUAAUUCACAUUUCCAAUUGUUUCUAUUACUUUGCCUUGUUUGGACAUGUAAAUGAUCAUCUGAGUAAUGGUUUGUAGUUUGUAUUGUAAGGGAUAAUUAUUGGAUAUAUGUGAAAUGUAUUAAUGGAAAAUGAUUUGCAUA